rnacentral:rRNA from 1 species
UACGUAGGGGGCAAGCGUUGUCCGGAAUCAUUGGGCGUAAGGCGCGUGUAGGCGGCUUCGUAAGUCCGUUGUGAAAGUCCAGGGCUCAACCCUGGAAUGCCGAUGGAUACUGCGGAGCUAGAGUCCGGAAGAGGCGAGUGGAAUUCCUGGUGUAGCGGUGAAAUGCGCAGAUAUCAGGAGGAACACCAAUGGCGAAGGCAGCUCGCUGGGACGGUACUGACGCUGAGACGCGAAAGCGUGGGGAGCAAACAGG